rnacentral:rRNA from 1 species
GCGGAAUGCUUUACACAUGCAAGUCGAACGGCAGCACGGGUACUUGUACCUGGUGGCGAGUGGCGAACGGGUGAGUAAUAUAUCGGAACGUAUCCAUUAAUGGGGGAUAACUAAUCGAAAGGUUGGCUAAUACCGCAUACGUCCUACGGGAGAAAGCAGGGGAUCUUCGGACCUUGCGUUAAUGGAGCGGCCGAUAUCUGAUUAGCUAGUUGGUGAGGUAAAAGCUCACCAAGGCGACGAUCAGUAGCUGGUCUGAGAGGACGACCAGCCACACUGGAACUGAGACACGGUCCAGACUCCUACGGGAGGCAGCAGUGGGGAAUUUUGGACAAUGGGCGAAAGCCUGAUCCAGCCAUUCCGCGUGAGUGAAGAAGCCUUCGGGUUGUAAAGCUCUUUCGCAAGGGAAGAAAACUUACUUUCUAAUAAAGAGUGAGGCUGACGGUACCUUGAUAAGAAGCACCGGCUAACUACGUGCCA